rnacentral:rRNA from 1 species
CAGCAGCCGCGGGAAUACGUAGGGUGCAAGCGUUAAUCGGAAUUACUGGGCGUAAAGCGUGCGCAGGCGGUUAUAUAAGACAGAUGUGAAAUCCCCGGGCUCAACCUGGGAACUGCAUUUGUGACUGUAUAGCUAGAGUACGGCAGAGGGGGAUGGAAUUCCGCGUGUAGCAGUGAAAUGCGUAGAUAUGCGGAGGAACACCGAUGGCGAAGGCAAUCCCCUGGGCCUGUACUGACGCUCAUGCACGAAAGCGUGGGGAGCAAACAGGAUUAGAUACCCCUGUAGUCCCUGUCUCUUAACA